rnacentral:lncRNA from 1 species
AAAUGAAGCUAGGGCUCAUCCAAUCCAACCCAAUGGAAGCCUCUAAUCCACUCAAUCUAGCUCCAAAAGCCCUAGAUUCAAAAUGCCCAAUAUUAACCCUAAAACCUCAUUCUAGGGUUUCAUCUCAAAAUCUCCAAUAAAACUUGAAUCUAGAGGGAGAGAACAUGUUGCUUACCUCUUAGAAGCUUCAAUCCAAGCUCUAAACUAUCCAAGUCCCAAGAUCUUCCCUCUACCAAGCUCCAAAAUCAAGCUCCAAUGGUGGAAAAGCUUCCAACAAGCAAAAGAAGCAAAAAUGAAGGUUUAAUCUC